rnacentral:lncRNA from 1 species
AGAGAAGUGGCCUGGCUAACAGACCCCAGUCUCCAAGGACUCACACUAAAGUCCCAGAUGGCCUGGAUUUCUUUGUAGGACAUGUUUACCGAGGGUUUCUCUGUGGCUUUGGAGGCUGGAAGUAGCUCUUGUACUGGUUGGUCUGGAAAUCACAGAGAUGCGCCUGCCUCUGCCUCCUAAGUGCUAGGACUAAAGGCGUGCACCACCACCGCCUGGCUCUGAGUUCCAUUUUCACCUGCUGGAGUCCCCAUGGGAUUGUUCUGAAGUAUAGAGUAUACAGGGAGAAACCUAAGAUCCGCAGUGAGGAGGAGAAUUAAGAAGAUGGAGUUCACAUUCAGAGCUCAGGCUGGAGGCGAGUGGCAGACGAUGAAAAGGAGAAGAAAAGUCCUAGGAGCAAAGUUGCCCAUUGCAUGCCUGAAGGAAUGAAUGAGCCAGGGCUGUGUGGUCUGCACAGAUGGUUGCAACGUUGGCAAAGCAUUCUCAGUUGUUACAAAAGCUCCAGGAGCCCACAUUUCACAGCUGAGGAAACAGGCUCAAAGUCACACAUCAAAUAAUGCAGCCAGGACUUCACCUCUUAGGACAUCAGAUGUGCACCCUUGGGGUUUUCCUCCCACUUCAGCGUGGGCUGCCAGGCCUCUCCUGAGCAAUCACUGGGGAAAGGGGCAAGUGCUUGCCUGGCAGGGAGAGAGGGAGCGAGAGAGGACUCUGCCAAGGAUCAACUCCAGACUCAUUUCUCUAGCAACCCUUGUCAUAAAAUAUCUUGCCUCAGUGAGCAUUGAGUAUGAAUCCAGGCUGUUUGAGAUUGUGCCAUCCUUACUUGACAGUUUAAUUGUGAUCCUAUAGAUGAUCAGUUUAGUCUGUGACUGGGGCUACAAGGACCUAGGGCAUGGGAGUUGUGAUCUAGAUGCAGACAGACAGCCUUUGACCUGGGACUUGGAGGGCAGGACCCUGGUCAGCUGCUACGCUGAGUUCCUAUGAGCAAGACUGGAUCUGUUUGCCUUUCCUUUCCAGAACCUGAGGUCUAUGGAGAUGAUUUGCAAAGAUGGCUUCAGCACUUCCACUCGUUAGGUGCAGGCCCCUUUGGAAGUGUGGAGUCUCUGGAAUCUGAGCUUGCCUUGACUUGCACAAACCAUAAAAAUACAGCAGUGCGGUCAUCAGCGGGCAUGGCAGCUUUUGCUUUGAUCCUCUUUCAAGCUGCCUCUUUCAAGCUGCAUGUGCACAGACCUCGUCUGAUCUAUCACGUGAACCCGAGAGGCUGUGAAGCGCAGGCGCCAUGACAGGCAAAGCUCACAUGACUGACUACAGCCAGUGCCAAAAGUUACAUGUAAGAAUGAGGCCAUCUUGGGCCUUUUAGACUCAGGAUAGCCACCAAAAAGCACAGUGGUACUAAUGACCCCAGGAGAAAUCAGCAGAACCUUCCAGCUGAGCCCAACCCUAAAGGUGGGGUCAUGGAAUUGGGAGUAAAUACAAUGUUACUUUAAUCAGCCCCGCCCCCCAUUACUUUAGAAUGUCAUGCCAGGCAGCAACAGAAAAUGGGCACAGGGCAGUUCCUACUGGUAGUAGACUGGAUUACUUCUAAAAACAGAUAUUUAAGACCUAAACCCUUUUACCUGUGAAUGUUAACUUAUUUGGAAAUAAACUUUGAAGAUAUCGAAUUCAGAUAAGGUCUGAGCUGGCAAUGCAGCUAAGUUUGUGGAGUAUUGUGCCUAGCAUGCAGAGAGCCCUGGGCUCUGUGACCAGCACCGCAUAAACUCAGUGUGGUGCUAUGUGCCUCUAAUCCCAGUAUUCAGGAGGUAGAGACCUGAGGAUCUAAAGUUCAAAGGUCAUCCUUGACUGCAUAGUCAGUGUAUCCUUAUGCCAGCUUAUGUGAGUUAUUUUGUGUCUUAUUUUUUUUGUUGUUUGUUUAAAUUUUCCUUGUUUUAUACAGCAUCUUAUGAAAUCCAGACUAGCCUUGAACUGGAUGUGUAGCUGAGGAUGAUCUUGAGCCUCCUGCCUCCAUCUUCUGAUGGUUUAGUCAGUACUGGAGAAUGAGCCCAGGACUUAAUGCACGCUAGGCAAGCACUCUGCCUACUGAGCGACAUCCCUAGCCCCAUGUGUACCAUUUUUGCCACUUAAUAUGUCACAGACAGUUUUUCCACGUCUGUAACUAAAUCUUGUUUAUCAGCACUUAUUUAUUGAAUAUAUCAUGCCAGGAAAUAACAAUGAAAAGACAGUGUUUGUG